GGAAGCUGGGGCGGUGACGUCACGGGGGGCGGCCUCUAGACUAACACUGUCAGUGCCGGAGCACAGCGCAUCACUCUCUCAGCUCUGCUGCACCGCUUUAUGUAGAGGAGGCGUCUGAGGCCUCAUUCCAUUUUCGGUAAACAGUAGAAUGAUGUGCGUUACCAAAAAGCUCUCUCUUGGUCUCAUCUGUCCACAAGACGUUUUCCCAGAAGGAUUUUGGCAUAUUCAAGGUAAUUUUGGCAAAAUCUAAUGUUGCUUUUUUAUGUCUCUGUGUCAGCAGUGGGGUCCCCCUGGGUCUCCUGCCAUAGCGUUUCAGGUGGCCGGAAGAAGCGUCAAUUGACGUGAAACGUUGCCAGUCCCUGCACCUGCCCCACUCUCCCCCUGUUUCAUGCUGUAGCGUGUCUAUCCACCUUUGAUUUUGCUCCGAUGCCGGAAUAAAUCUUACCAGUUACAGAAGUCUUAUGGCAUAUUAAGAAAUUUGACUUCGGGACAUGCUUGACCUCACUCGUUUGUUCAUGGAUUCUACUACUGGUGUUUCUACAAGUUUACCUACAUUUCACUGCUUGAGGAACGUCAACUUCACCUUCAUCUUCUCACCUGUAUCUUCUUCAGUAGUCUUCAAGGUUUUGGAUUCUCCUUCAAGUUGAACUGGUUGAACUUUUAUUUCAGGUCACACAAAGAAAGAGGACUAAUGACAGUCAAUGGGUCCUUAUAUAACCUGGGAUAUACACCUAUUGGAUACCUGUUGUGACAGCAUGUUUGUGUGUGCUUACCUGACACCUGCGUGUGUUACCAAAGUUUUUUCUCUGUAUUACUUGAAUAUUACG